AUAAGAGCAGCCAUUAAAAUAUUCUUUCAUUUCUACUACCCAACUCGAUCGUCAUUAUUUUUUCAAAUCUUCUAAAAGGUAGAAGAAUUAUCGAAAAGCAGACGCACUUCGCAACAUGAUCAACGACUGUGAUUACGAGUUUGUUCAUAUUCAAGGUAAUGAAACACUUGUUCGGAGGCACCGAAUAAGACUCAAGUAACUCUUUUUCCCAUUAAAAUAAACUCUCUUCAAAUAUCAACGAUUGAUCUAUAUUGUGAAGAGGUUUUUGUUCAGGAAGAAAUGUUGAAAGGAGGUUUUGCUUGGCAUUACAUACAUCAUUACCAUAAAACGAUGACGUUCCUAAUUUGACAAUUAAUUAAUUUCAGAGGUUUUUCAAAGGUUGUCAAGACUGAAUAAGAGCCGUCAUUAGAAUAUUCUUUCAUUCCCACUACCCAACUCGAUCGUUAUUAUUUUUAUUACAAAUCUUCUAAAAGUUAAAGCUACCUUCACUUCACAUGAUUAAUUGUUGGCAUUAUAGUUGUGCAUUUGGUUGUUGGUGUUUGGAUUCAGUUUGGUGGCUUUUUUAUUUUUAA